CUAUUCCCAGCAAAAGAUUUGCAGCAGCACCACUUCAUCAUUAGAGUCUGAGUUCUAGACAAGGUGUGAUUCAUUUGGGAAGACCAGCCACUGUACCCUCUAGUUCUUUUGCAAAACAGAGACGAAUAUCACAACAGGAGAGUGAAAUGACCAGACAGAUUCGUGAUUUAUUCUAUUAUGGGGGUUAUUUUUUAUGUUUUGCUUUUGGAAAUAUGUAAAGGCCUACGAAGGCAGUAGAAUGGUGUGAAGGUUGUGAGACAUUAGGUCGGGGAGAUGAGAUUGCAGGAGGGACAUGCAUGGUUGGCUUGUUCAAAAGGAGGGAGAAUUGCUUUCGUUACCAACGUGCUCGAGCUUAGACCCUCCCCGAGGCAAAGAGCCAGGGAGACCUGCCUGUGCUUUUCUUACAGGUAGAAGCUCACUCUCAUAUACUAUGAUGUAACCAUUUGCAGGUGUAUCUCCUUUUAACUGUCAUAAAAUUCUGUAACUUGAUGAUGGGAUUAUCACUGAGAAGAAUUUGUGAUCAAUACCAUAUACAUUAAGCAGGUUA